CAGGAAAUUACUCGAUGGUCGAGUAUUCUAUACCAUAUUCAACACUAGACUUUUACAUAGUAAUACUACCUACAUUAGUACUCAACUCAUAUCCAGUAACUGGCAAACACUGAUAAUCUGAUGUAGAUGAAUAUAUGCACACCUAUUAAUAUAAUGGGAAAAAUCUAAAAUAAUUAAAUAUAGUUUAUUAUAGUGCAAUUUAUCAAUUCACAAUGGCCAGUUUAUUCUAAACAAAUUCUGUUUUUCUUCUACAAAUAACAAAA